rnacentral:piRNA from 5 species
UAGCUCAGUCGGUAGAGCAUCAGA